UCUUGAUAGACUUAUCUCUCGACCUAGGCUUGAUGACUCAUUCUCACAAGUUGUUUGUAUACUGUGCAGAACAGCUGUCAUUGUUUUGCAUCUUCCUGAUUCACCAGCACCACUGGAAUUGACAGGAUGGCAGAGACAGAGUGGACAAGUAUCUUUCAGAUUACAGCAAAGAAUCUUAUAGACUCCUGGCGUCUGGAGUUUGAUGACAGUAUUGUGCCCAACCGCCAACAACCGGGCUGGAAGAAGUCUAUUGUUUACACAAGUGCACGGUUCCACUGCAGCGAGUGUGGAAGACGCUGGUCUUCCAACAAGGUGGGGGUGGUCUGCAACAUGCGCCUGGCGUCCAGGCAGGGUGUUGUCAAGGUGAGGCCCUCCCGUCAGAACUGUAAGAUUUGCAGCAAUGCUCCAAUGGAGAAGCCAAGUAUCACUUCAGAGAACAUCAAACCCCUCCUGCAGAAUCUGGUGGAGAAGAUAAGAAUCAAAUGCUACAAUGAAGACCUGGGCAGAAAGAAAAGGCCCUUCAGAAGCUUUGAUGCCAAAAGUCCCCACGAGCCUGCUCAUUGUGAGGCCUGUAUGCAAGGCAUCUGUCCAAAGACAAAGUCAUAUUAGCAAAGUGUCAGUUGUACUACACUUUCCCUUCUGUCAUUCUGUUACAUUGCAUUGCUUGCAUCUUUUUUAAAUGAUAAAGUGCAUGUAAGCUUUCAUAAAUUGUUUUUUUUUGUUGAUUUU